AUACGGAGGGUGCGAGCGUUAAUCGGAAUUACUGGGCGUAAAGCGCGCGUAGGCGGCUUGGUAAGUCGGAUGUGAAAGCCCCGGGCUCAACUUGGGAAUUGCAUUCGAAACUGCCGAGCUAGAGUAUGGGAGAGGGAAGUGGAAUUUCCGGUGUAGCGGUGAAAUGCGUAGAUAUCGGAAGGAACACCAGUGGCGAAGGCGACUUCCUGGCCCAAUACUGACGCUCAGGUGCGAAAGCGUGGGGAGCAAACAGGAUUAGAUACCCCAGUAGUCC
rnacentral:rRNA from 1 species